rnacentral:rRNA from 1 species
UACGUAGGGUGCGAGCGUUGUCCGGAAUUACUGGGCGUAAAGAGCUCGUAGGUGGUUUGUCGCGUCGUCUGUGAAAUUCCGGGGCUUAACCUCGGGCGUGCAGGCGAUACGGGCAAUACUUGAGUGCUGUAGGGGAGACUGGAAUUCCUGGUGUAGCGGUGAAAUGCGCAGAUAUCAGGAGGAACACCAAUGGCGAAGGCAGGUCUCUGGGCAGUUACUGACGCUGAGGAGCGAAAGCAUGGGUAGCGAACAGGAUUA